AUCCUGGCUGAUGGAUAUACUGAAGGCAUGAACGAUAUUAGUUGAACAAGGAAAUACACUUGAUCCAAAUUGUGAAGUUCUCUGCAGUGAAAUAUUAAAGAUUAACAAGCUAAACAGAGAAGGAUAACACUCAAGAAGCUGCCUAUAUGUAAGAGAUUCCUUUGAGAACUUUCAAAUGGCUCCUUCCUACAAAAAACCUGGGAAUACUUAACCUCCCACCACCAGCACACUCAAAGCUCAAGGCAAAUGCAUUUUCAAGAUUGACAGGGUCUUGGACUCUGAAAGUCUUUGUUUAUCUCUACAGAAGAAAUAAGGAAAUCGAAGAAGGCACGGUAACAGAGAUACAGGGAGGGAGGGAGGGAAUCAUAUUGUACUAUCCAGCACUACUAUUUUCUCUGAAUCUUCAGUAUUAGCUAGGAAGGAAGGAAGGAAAGAAGGGAGAGAGGGAAGGAAGGAGGGAUGGAAUGAAUUAUAUUGUACCAACCAGCACUA
rnacentral:lncRNA from 1 species